rnacentral:ncRNA from 2 species
GUCUGUAAAGGGCAAACCGCUCGAAAGAGCGGGACGCAAAGCCACUGGCCUACGUUCCGAGCCCCCUCGGAAUAGGGUCGCAGAGCUGCCAGG